rnacentral:lncRNA from 1 species
GCACUCCAGCUUGGGUGACAGAGCAAGACUCCUUCUCAAAGUAAAUAAAUAAAUAGGCUCAUUUAUUGUUUCAUAUUAAUUCAGGUAAUUUCUGUGAAGUUCACACCACAUAUUAGCUAAAACAUUCCGAAGGCUGUGAUGAGCGUGAGACCCCCAAGACUGGCCCUCGUCUCUAACCACAGGUGCUGUCAUUUCUCGGAUUUCCUUUGUCUGCUUAUUCAUAUCACACAUCAAAGACUCUUCCUCUUUAAGUCUACAUUUCCUUUUUUUGCAACACAGAAUAUAUUUAGAUAAUCUUUUCUAACUUAUUUUCCUAGUCUCUAGCAUAUGAGUUACUAUGCACUCACAUUUACACAAUUAAUUGAGGAUAAAAAUUCAUGACAAUUGGCCAGGCGUGGUGGCUCACGCCUGUAAUCCCAGCACUUUGGGAAGCCAAGGUGGGUGGAUCACGAGGUCAGGAGUUCGAGACCAGCCUGGCCAAGAUGGUAAAACCCCAUCUCUACUAAAAAUACAAAAAUUAGCCAGGCAUGGUGGCACGUGCCUAUAAUCCCAGCUACUUGGGAGGCUGAGGCAGGAGAAUUGCUUGAACCCGGGAGGCACAGGCUGCAGUGAGCCGAGAUCGCACCACUACAUGCACUCUAGCCUGGGCGACAGAGCAAGACUCUGUCUCAAAAAAAAAAAAAAAUUCAUGAGAAUCUUUAAUAAUUAGUUACAUACUAAACAUCCUUAAAAAUACUUAAGUAUUAAAAUAACAGAAGCAAAAAUCCGUAAGGCAAAUCAUUGAGUCAAUGAAAACUUGUAUUCAAACAAAUCACUUAAUAUACUAUAUUCAUUACUUCUGCUUUGCCUUACAAGCACUGUACACAGUCAUCACUAUGUUUGUAAUUACAUCACAAGCGACCCAUCGAACAGGCCAAUCCAGAUGACUGCUGUUACUCAUCUGGUUGGAGAGUUCUCUCUGGAGUCUCCUGCACCAAGUAAUGAAAGACUUCCUCCCGAAUAAACAAACAGAGGAGCCCGCAACUGAAUGGCUUCAGUUACACAACGAUAAUUGUUUUAGAAGAGUUAUCAAGAGCUCCAGCCUACUUCACAGGGUGAGGAACGAAUUCACCGAGGAUGCUAAUAAGCAGCACAGGAUUUGUACUGGGCACUCUCAAGAAACAGUUAAGAUACAACUUGACAUGAAACUGCUCAACCUGGUACUUCCCACUAGCUGUCACCACGGAAGUCACCACCUGCCCCCCUUUCCCUUGCAAGGGUUACUAACAGUGAUCCCAUCUGGUCACCACAAAGUCAGUAGGAAACUCAGGCUGAAGACACACUGAAAACCUAGCACCACACAAGAGCUCAUCGCAGCAACCUUAGUUUUACUUCCUUCUGGAAAAAGAUGAACAGCACUUUCUUCUCCUUUCACUGACAUUCAGUUGAAAAGGAUCCCAGGUACACUCUAUGACUGGAGGUAGUGGCGCUUAUUGAAACUGGAACCUUCAUAGUGAUUAGUACGUUUGCUCAAACCUGUAAGACUGAAGUGUGAUAAGUGUCUUGGCUUGAGUACUAACCGGAAGGAAAACAUCUACCUGUUACAAAUGUAGGAGCCUGCUGCACCUGCAGCUGUUGCCUGAAUGUUUUGGGUGCUAUUCACAGCUCAGCGCAGCAUCCAUCAGGUGAAUGGGUACAACUGCAGAAGUGGCUCCAGGAACCAGGAACCGCCCUGCAUCUUACCUGCACCCUCGCCUGUCACUCAGGAGUCUCUCCAUGACUUUGCAACUGCCUUAUGGGGCUGAUCUGGUAUUAGAUAUCUGAUAUCAAUGGAUAUCAGAUCUCGGGUAGGGCUGAUCCCUUUUGAAAUUAAGGACACCUUAGGAAGAUUAAGGGAAAC